GAUGAACGCUGGCGGCGUGCUUAACGCAUGCAAGUCGAACGAGAACGGAUUAUAGCUUGCUAUAAUUGUCAGCUAAGUGGCGCACGGGUGAGUAAUGUAUAGGUAAUAUGCCUCUUACUAAGGGAUAACAAAUGGAAACGCUUGCUAAUACCUUAUACUCCUUAUUAACAGAAGUUAAUAAGGGAAAGAUUUAUUGGUAAGAGAUUAGCCUGUAUUGUAUCAGUUAGUUGGUGGGGUAAUGGCUUACCAAGACUAUGACACAUAACUGGUUUGAGAGGAUGAUCAGUCACACUGGAACUGAGACACGGUCCAGACUCCUACGGGAGGCAGCAGUGGGGAAUAUUGCACAAUGGACGAAAGUCUGAUGCAGCAACGCCGCGUGGAGGAUGACACAUUUCGGUGCGUAAACUCCUUUUAUAUGAGAAGAUAAUGACGGUAUUAUAUGAAUAAGCACCGGCUAACUCCGUGCCAGCAGCCGCAGUAA
rnacentral:rRNA from 1 species